rnacentral:rRNA from 1 species
GACGAACCGUGCGAACGUUGUCGGAAUCACUGGGCUUAAAGGGCGCGUAGGCGGCCGGGUUGGUCGUGGGUGAAAUCCCCCAGCUUAACUGGGGAACUGCCUACGAUACUGCCUGGCUCGAGGGAGGAAGGGGCGGUCGGAACUGUCGGUGGAGCGGUGAAAUGCGUUGAUAUCGACAGGAACGCCGGUGGCGAAAGCGGACCGCUGGCCCUCUUCUGACGCUGAGGCGCGAAAGCCAGGGGAGCGAACGGG